rnacentral:rRNA from 1 species
AUGUCGCACAAACCCGCCUCAGCCUUGAAGACCAUUCCACUCGUCUGGCCCUUCGCUGUUUGGGGAUUAGAUAUGGUUGGACCAUUGAGAACUGGCAGGAGCGGCUUCACCCAUGUACUGGUGGCAGUCGAUAAGUUCACUAAGUGGAUUGAAGCUAAGCCUAUCAAGAAUCUUGAUGCCUGCACUGCUAUCAGCUUCAUCAGAGAGUUGAUAUUCAGAUAUGGAGUUCCGCACAGCUUCAUCACUGAUAAUGGGUCAAACUUCGAUUCUGACAAAUUCAGAGCCUUUUGUGCUUCUCAAGGCACAUGA